GACGGAGGAUGCAAGCGUUAUCCGGAAUUAUUGGGCGUAAAGCGUCCGCAGGUGGCAUUUCAAGUCUGCUGUCAAAGCGCAGAGCUUAACUCUGUAACGGCGGUGGAAACUGGAAAGCUAGAGUAUGGUAGGGGUAGAGGGAAUUCCCGGUGUAGCGGUGAAAUGCGUAGAUAUCGGGAAGAACACCAGUGGCGAAAGCGCUCUACUGGGCCAAGACUGACACUGAGGGACGAAAGCUAGGGGAGCGAAAGGG
rnacentral:rRNA from 1 species